UGUUCAUCGCCUUUCUAGCCUCUCGGCCUCACAUUUACCAUCCUCUGCUUUGCUUCCUGUUUCAGUUUGUUCCUCACGACUUCUGACUUCUGCUCAGAAAGACCAUUUACUUAGGUGAUGAAGUCUGGACAGAUGCCUAGGGCUCACUAGCCAGCAUGUCAUUGUACCUACCAUGCUCUGGCUGACUUUCCCAUGAGCAGCUCUACCCAGCCCUCACCGUCUCACAAGCUCCCAGGGAACAAUCCCCUAAAUGCAAGAAUUUAUGUAAGAAGAUGAUGAAAAGGAACAGGUCACUCAAUGACCUAUUGGAUGGAAUGUGAGCUAUUUAUUCGAUAAAUAUUUUGUUGAGUGUCUACAUGCGCAAGAUGGUUGUGGAAAGGACAAAGAGGCACCCGGGAAUUUGGGACAAGAUGUGUUC
rnacentral:lncRNA from 1 species